UGCGCUGCGCAGCUGUGAUGUUAAAGUAACAAAGUGGGAAGGAAAGAAGCAACGUGGCUGCUUAAGAAAUGUAUUCUAAUGCGGAGAAGAUCAAGGCGACUACCCCGACUUGACCACGCAAGUCUCUCGGACUCAAGUAAGCUCUGCGCGACUGGCACUUGACCCCGGGUUGAAGCAAAUCUCCGCACACGCCACGAACAAAGAAGAGUUUCUAGAUGCUUGCUGCGAGGCCAAAGUCGUACCUCCACAUGCAAGUCCUCCCGUCCGUCACCCAAAGUUUUUAGUUUCUGUGGCGUGUUUCGAAGCGACCAAACUGGCGCGGCAGCGAAGUUGUCGUCUCAACCGAAAAGGCAGCGCUCGCUCGACGAUGAUUGCUCACCGUCUCUUUCACGCUCCGGAGGGCACAAGCACGGGAAGAAUAGUAUUUCUUCUCGUCAGUGGACAACCAAUUCUAACAAGUGCUCCCACACUGGACUAAGUGCGACCCCACGGCGAGAAUACCGUAGCGUCUUCGCCCUGCUCAUUCUACACUGAGGUCACUAUAAAACCGGGACGGGACCAUCCAAAAUCCAAACUUGCAAAGCGAAAGAAGCCGCAAUGGCCUUGACAGCCAUCACUGCUGUGCCUGGCCUCUUGUUCAUAAUUCUCAGCAUCCUCUCGUCGAACAAGGCUGCAGGCAUCGAUGACGAGCGUCAGGUACUUCCACUGGCAUCCUUUUGCAUAUAUUUACGACUUGUUCUUUUUUUGCAGAUCUAUAUCGUCUAUCUCGGUGGAAAAGGCAGUCGCCAGAGUUUGGAGCUGGUCCAAAGACACAGCAAGAUUCUCGCAUCUGUCACAAGCAGGCAAGAAGUGAUCGUGCUCCAAAGUAUAGCCCGGACUGACUUUAAAAACUUACAUGACAGAGAAGUAGAGUCCCCUGAGAUCGUGUACAGCUACAAGCAUGGAUUUGAUGGAUUUGCUGCCAGGAUGACCGCUAAGCAGGCAAAAGCCAUAGCAGGCAAGCCAUCGCAAAAAGCUCUUCUCCCGGAUGAUUCAAUUCUCCUGCUUGGCUCUGGUCAUAAUUACAGGACUGCCGGACGUGGUCAGUGUGUUCCCGAGCAAAACUCUGCAGCUGCAUACAACACGGUCCUGGAAAUUCCUGGAGACUUUUUCGACGGGGCUCUUGUACUCCAGAAGCAAACUUGGAGAGGGGGCCGAUGUCAUUGUUGGCGUGCUGGACACAGGUACAGAGUUGAAAGAAGAGCCUGGGAAUUGAUACCUCUUCCUGCUUCAGGUAUAUGGCCAGAGUCUGCAAGUUUCAGCGACGAUGGAAUGUCAUCUCCUCCCAGCCGAUGGAAAGGAUUCUGCAAUAACACCGGUGUGAAUUCCACGCAGGCCGUGAAUUGCAACAAGUAAGUUAAAGUUAAAACUGUACCGUUCUAGAUUAUAUUUUUUUCCUGCAGCAAGAUCAUCGGAGCUCGCUUCUACAACGCCGAGAGCGCCAGAGAUGACGAAGGCCACGG
rnacentral:lncRNA from 1 species